rnacentral:rRNA from 1 species
AUUGAACGCUGGCGGCCGGCCUAACACAUGCCAGUCGAGCGAGCGGCCGACGGGUGAGUAAUGUAUGGGGACUGCCCGAUAGAGGGGGCUACCUACUGGAAACGGUUGCUCAUACCGCAUACUAUCGGAUAACCCAUAUGGGAUUGGCUAGUCGGUGGGGUAAAGGCUCACCUAGGCGACGAUGUCUAGCUGGUCUGAGAGGAUGAUCAGCCACACUGGGACUGAGACACGGCCCAGACUCCUACGGAGGCAGCAGUGGGGAAUAUUGCACAAGGGGCGCAAGCCUGAUGCAGCCAUGCCGCGUGUAUGAAGAAGGCCUUAGGGUUGUAAAGUACUUUCAGCGGGGAGGCGUUACCCGCAGAAGAAGCACCGGCUAACUCCGUGCCAGCCGCCGCGGUAAUAC